UCCGGUAUGGUCUAGUGGCUAGGAU
rnacentral:piRNA from 1 species